UAUAUAGAUAUUUCAUUGUGGGGAGUAUAAGAACCUACGCUCUUAUGUUUAGCGCCACGACGUCACGUGCAUUUACGCGUAUUUACGUCAUAUUAUAGACGUCAUAACGGCCAUUGAUAAAAAAUUAUUUGUACAACAUUUGUGGACAACAUCACAAUCGAGAAUCGUCUACGUCUACGUCUACAUCUACGCAUUCGUCAUCGUAUGUAUGUGAAUGAAUCGGUAGAAAGACGCAUGUCUCCAUGAUGAUUUGUUCCAAAUUAUCUGAAUUACCGACAAUACCUUUGCGAUUGGUGGGUUAAAACAGGUAUUGUUACUGGUGGCAUAUACAGUAGCACAAAUCAUUUGCUUUCUUAAUGGACACGUGUGUUCGCCAGUACAAAAAAAACAGUUGCUACGAAGGUAAGCACAAACAUAACCAAAACAAGAAAUUGUUCAAUGUCUUCCCAUCCAAGUUCAUUUGCGGAAUGGCUCUUUCCGAUACGUCUUUGACAGAUCCGAGCUAAGUAGUAGAUUUUCAUAUAUCCUGAGCCGAAUUAGUCCGUGUCCUUAACUCGGGACGCCAACCGCGAUUCUAACAGCGACGUCAUCACAGUGGAUAGUGCUAGCAUUGCCGUCAUGUAAACUGAGACGAUAGAGAUGGUGUUGGAAAUCUUCGGAAUCUCAGACGCUACUAUUGUUAGAAACACGGCUAAAGAUAGCAACACUGUGACAGCGUAGGAAUUAUGCUCACCAGACGGUACCGGAAGUACAAAUGUGAGGACGUUUAUAAACGAAAGUAAAACCAUGGGGAUGAUAAUAUAGAACACAUAAAAUAUUGUCUUCCGCUUCAACUUCAUCUUAAAAAUAACAAUUGCAUCAUCAUCUAUGUCCAAGUACGAUUCAACUGUGGUGGAAAUGGUACAAUUCUGCCAUAAUCGAUUUAACUCAAUUCCAGUGGGAGAACGAAGGUAUUCAUUAUUUUUGUAUUUUAAUGUAUAUAAUUAAAUAAAGGUCAGUGUACGGCUGAUAUUG